rnacentral:lncRNA from 1 species
AUGGGCAUAAUGCCAUACUAAGCCACAGCUCUCUCUCUCAUUGUUCUAAAAGAUCAGACUGACUUAGGUCUUGAAGGGUCCUUCAUUGGAGUAUCCUCCCUUUGGCAUGGGUGGAAUUCUUUUGUCGAUCUACUGCAAUAUCUCGGUAUUUUUUUGGUCGACGUCUCUUCUCCACUGGAUCAGCACGUCUUGGAGCUUUGACGCACCACAACAUAUCAGCAG